rnacentral:rRNA from 1 species
UGGUGGAGUGAUUUGUCUGGUUAAUUCCGUUAACGAACGAGACCUCAGCCUGCUAAAUAGUGGCUAGAGUCAUCUGUAUGGGUGAAAGGGUCAACGGCGUAGGGGUUUCGGCCCUCUGCUCGAUGGCCUGGGAUCCCUGAUGGUCUGAAGUACGCUUCUUAGAGGGACUACUUGCGUUUAGCAAGGGGAAGUUUGAGGCAAUAACA